AUCGAGCUGUCGAGUCUCAAAUAGGAUGAAAUGCGCGUCCUAGAU
rnacentral:hammerhead_ribozyme from 1 species